CAAUAUACUAUCCACACCACUGCACAUUAUGACCCUUUCUGCUAUUAUUAUUUUCUAUUACCCUCAUGUACAGUCUCUCUGUCUGAAAUUUUCACAGAAAAUGUAAUUAUUGCUUUUUCAGUACUAUAUUUUUUGCGGGGAAUACAGCAAAAUUUUGAGGUGCCUUGUCCUAGGAGAAGCCUCAGCCACUUCUCUGUACAGGGGAAAAAAAAAAUCUAUCAAGUAGGAUGGAGUAUUCAUUCAUGGUGUGAAAUUAACAGCUGUUUCACUAACCUGCUUUUUGUAUUGACUGCAUUCCGGGAAUGGAUUUACCUUAUCUGGAGGUACACAUUCCAAAAUGACAACAUGCAACUGAGCAUUACACCGCUGAUCCACCACUAUCCUGCUGUAGAUCCACAAGAAAAUUUCAGAGACAAAGUACUAAUCUUCAACAUUUUCUGGUUGCAACACAAUAAAAUUUAUUUAUUUAAUUAAAUAUUUUGUAAAAAUGCAUAUAUUUAAAAAUAAAUAAAGAUUGAAAUAUUUAAAUUAAUUAACA
rnacentral:lncRNA from 1 species